rnacentral:tRNA from 1 species
GGUUUUAUAUUCAUUUAAUGAUUUUAAAUUGCAAAUUUAAAGGUGUAUUUUAUACUAAGGCUU